rnacentral:misc_RNA from 1 species
UUAAGUUCAGCGGGUAGUCCUACUUGAUUUGAGGUCAGAUGUUCAGAGAUUGUCCCAAGGGACGGUUAGAAGCUUGAACAUUAAAUUCACCGAGAUGAAGCAACGUAGACAAUUAUCACGCUGAAUCAUGCUUGGUUCUAUUCAAGCUAAUGCAUUUCAGAGGAGCUGACUUCCGAAUUAAAAAUUCGGACGCCUGCAAG